rnacentral:other from 1 species
UGUGCUCGACCUUGUGCGUGAUCUGCUCUCAUCUUGAGCCAACACACCAUGAUCGGGAGGCAGGUUUGUCCGGUCGGCGUACACCUUGCGGGGUGUGUCCUCCGGGGGCUGCCACCCACCUGCUUCGGCAGGUUCAAGAUCACACAGACACGGCAAGGUGGAGCAUUU